rnacentral:rRNA from 1 species
UACGUAGGUGGCAAGCGUUGUUCGGAAUUACUGGGCGUAAAGCGCACGUAGGCGGCUUUGUAAGUUAGAGGUGAAAGCCCGGAGCUCAACUCCGGAACUGCCUUUAAGACUGCAUCGCUUGAACGUCGGAGAGGUAAGUGGAAUUCCGAGUGUAGAGGUGAAAUUCGUAGAUAUUCGGAAGAACACCAGUGGCGAAGGCGACUUACUGGACGACUGUUGACGCUGAGGUGCGAAAGCGUGGGGAGCAAACAGG